GUGAGGUGCUGCAGAUUUCAGGCACAUUCAGGCGAAAUAGAGCCAGCUGAACCGUGGAUGGUACACAAGUGUCUCGGCAUUCACUAGAAGUUCUUUCCCUACAUUUGCCCUUUGCAGGUGCCAGAGCCCAGGAGGCGCAUGGCACCUGUCCGGGCAUCUGUCCGGGCAUCUGUCCGGCAGGCCACGCUAACCCCACACCUGAACUGCCAACACUAAAACGGAUCUCUGAACAAGCUGCUGAUGUACAGCUGAAUUCAAGCUCGGGGUACUCAACUCUACAGAAUUACCCAAGGGAGAGGACUGCAGGAACCUCUUCUCAGGAGCAGCAGGACAAGGUGGAUUUGAGCAGCGGGGCUCAGCAAGGACCAGCAGCCUCGUGGCCAAUGCUCCAUCAAGCGAGACUGACUGGUACAGAUGAGGGACAGUUUUGGUCAAUCAGGCCUCUUAAAGCUCAUGGAUCCACUGUCAGGGCUAGACUCUGACUUUGUUGCUGUGUUUGGGUUCCCUUCUGCUGCGGCCAAGAGCUCUAAACCAGACAUGCUGCAACUCUGCUUCUCCUCUGGGUGGUCCACAUGGCACACAUCCUGAGCAGGCAACCUUGGGGUGUGGGAUUUUCUUACAGAAGAAUUGUGGAUGGGGACAGGAAAAGUAGCUACGUCUGCUCCCCUGCCUUUCUCAUGAGGAAAUCUCCUGCCUUGAAAUGGAAAUGCUGUGCUGAACCAAGUCCUGCUAUGAGAAAGGAAUUGUGCCCUGGCAUCUGCAUGGAAGUGAUGAUCCUGCUCUUCAGGAGAAAAACCGUGGAGAAAGUAAAGAUGUGUAAGGGGUCGGGUAAUUAUUUCUCAAGUUUGUUAUUGCAGACUGUACCCUGUUGUGAUUUUUGCUGCUGGCUUCUGCUAGUAAUUUGUUCUCGGGUUUUAAAGAAUAGAUCCCCCAAAAAAUUUGUUAGCAUCUGGCUCAAUCAAAACAGAAGAAGUCACAAUAAAGAAGCUAUCUUUCAAAAAAGGUGAGGACUGUGUUCUCUGAAUGUAGAUUUUUUUCAAAUGACUUUGGAUUUUGCAGAUUGUUGUCAUUAUACAGCUAUUUAUGAAGAAACAUUAUUGCUGUCUUUGUCAUCAAAAGAGCCUUGAGAACACUGUCUGUCACCUAGGAUUAGUAUUGCCACAAAAUAAAUGUUCUCUCGAUAUUUUUAUAGAUGUUUUCACAGGUCUCUAAUGUUUCACAUUAGAGAACCUGAGCCCCACUAUUAUUGCAAAUUAAAAUUAUUUAAUAGUGCUGCCUGUGAAAGAGUGUUGUUUUUACAGUUGUCAAAUGUCUCAAACGUUGAUAAUUUUGUUUAACAAUACAUUAUUUUCCUUUAGUUCUUCUAGGCAUACUGCAAGUAUUAUCUUAUGAUUCUUUAAAUGUCUGUUAUUGUAAAAAUAGUAGUAUGCCUAAAAUAGGUAUUGAUUUUGCAUCCAUAAAAGCAAAAUACUGAGAAAGCCAAUUAUCUGUUUACCUCAGAAAUAUUAAUGUCUUUAUGCACCAUGCAAUGCACACUGCAAGGUGUAACUCUUUGGAUGUACUGUGCAUCUUUUGAGUCUUGAGUAAACCUGUAGGCUAAAUGGAGAAUAGUCU